AUGGAGGGCGACGAGAUCUUUGCAAGCCUAGACUCGCUCUGGUUCCACUCCAGCGUCCUUCACCGGCGGCCGCGCUUCAAGCAGCACUCGGAAGAGCUGAAGCCGCCCAGGAAUCAAGAUCAGCAUCCCAAAUGCGUCGACGGCGAGGUGACGCUGGGAGCGAGAAGAGCGGAUCCGGGAAGCAGGGCGCUUCAAGAGCGCAUCGAGACAUGGCAGGAGGAGCAGUGGCGGCGGACGCUCGUCGUCGCGGCACCGCCACGGUGCUCGCCCGUCAGCGAUGGUGUGGCCAUGAAGGCUCAUCUCAGGUCGUGGGCUCAUGCCGUUGCUUGCUCCGUCAGAUGA
rnacentral:rRNA from 1 species